GCUUACGGCCACACCACCCUGAACACGCCCGAUCUCGUCCGAUCUCGGAAGCUAAGCAGGGCUGGGCCUGGUUAGUACUUGGAUGGGAGACCGCCUGGGAAUACCAGGUGCUGUAAGUU
rnacentral:rRNA from 1 species